AGAGAAACAGAAAAAGAGGCAAGGUCACACACAGGAUAGUCAUGUUGCUGGAGGUAUUCUCCCAUCUCCUUGUUCCCUUCAAGGCUCAGCUUACCGGCCCCCUCCUAUGAAGGCCUCUUCCUGGUCCUCCCAAAGGGAGCUGAGUAUCUUUUAAAAACAAGCUCAGAAGAAAAGAAGGAAAGAAGGAAGGGAGGGAGGAAGACAGGAAGAAAGACGAGAGAGUAAGAAAGUCAGAAUGCAAGAACAAAAGGAAGAAAGGAAGAAACUCCAUCCAAGUUUUGGGGCUAGGAAACUGAAGGUUACUUCCUUGGUGACAUUCACCAGUAGAAAUCUGGGGCUUCUCAUGACAGAAA